UCUCAUUUUCUUCUCCCCCGUAAUGAAAAACUGAACCGUCCAUAACAACUGAACCCUCGUCCUCCUUCUCCUUUCUCCACCUCACUAAAUAACUAGGAUUUCAGUUCCAUUUUCUCGAUCGAAGAAGGAAAACAGAAAACUGGGGUAUCAGUUUCCAGUUUUCCACUAAAAUUGGGGUAUUUUGAGUUUGGGGUGAAGGAAAAAAACAUAAGAGGAGAUCUUUUUUCUAAAGAAUUUGGCGGCAUUCAGGGCAGACCUGGAGAUCACUAUCGCGGGUAUAAUAUGGGUGCAGGGUGAUAUUGCAAAUCUAUUGAAGGGAUUGACUAGUUGUGAGGAGUGUUACUCAAGAUCACUAUGCUUUCAACACUAAGAAAUUAGAGUGAGAUAGAUCUGCUGUGGUGUAGACUAGCAAAGCUUUUCUUCUUGGAUUAAGUGGGCGUGCUCCAAAUUAAUCGACUCGAUUAUCUUCACGUAUGUUGGCACGCAUGGUUGGGGACAUUUUCUUUGUAAAUUAACUGUUGAGUCAAGUUCGCUAAAGGAUGAUGCAUUUUUCUUAACAAAAGUUGUAUUAAAUAUUUUGAUAUGUAUAAUGCGAGUUUAGGUUGUUAAUGUAAAGGUGAAUCUAUAUUUUAAAUGAAACUAAU